GCGGGGGUCCAAUUCCCCCACUGCCACCACUCCCCCCCACCCCCCUGAGCGUCCCUGCAUCCCAGCACCCCCCACCCCAAAGGGACAUCACAGCAACCGCCCCAUAGGGACACAGAAACAGCCAUCGGGACCCCCACCCCAAAAACGCACAGAUCCGGGCUAUGUCUGCGCCGCUGUUUAAUGUCCCCAUCGCUCCUCUCACGGCUCUUUGCCGUCCCCCCUCUGUUCGCUGGAAGCUCCGCCGCUCUCAGCGCGGCCCCCCGAGCCAUCGGUGCGGCCCCUCCGGGACGUGGGGUCUCCCCCUGAGGCGCUGCUCGUGUCCUCCGGGGCUGCCACGGCGUCAAUGGCGGCGUGCUCCUUCCUCACCAGCUCCUGCAGCUCCUUCUUCCAGCCCAGCAGCUCUGCCAGUGCCAGGCAGCCCUCAUCGCAGUCCCCCAGCCAGGCCACGUCCCUGGGAGGGGGGGGCAGAGGAAUAUGGGGGCACAGAGAUGGGGGGAGACAAAGUACGUGGGGAAAGGGGGCAUAUGGGGGGGGGGAAGGUGGGGGGCAGCCCCUCAGUGACCCCCUAAAAUACAAGGAAAGGCCACAGACCUCGGUUUCUCAUGCACACCUCUACCUCAGCUGCAGCGCACGGGGACCCUAUGUAUGCCCCCACCCCUCAUCCCCAGGUCCUUCUGUGCCCCCAAAGUCCCCCCAGGCCCCCC
rnacentral:lncRNA from 1 species